rnacentral:rRNA from 1 species
UACCAGCACCCCGAGUGGUCGGGACGUUUUAUUGGGCCUAAAGCAUCCGUAGCCGGUUCUGCAAGUCUUCCGUUAAAUCCACCUGCUUAACAGAUGGGCCGCGGAAGAUACUAUAGAGCUAGGAGGCGGGAGAGGCAAGCGGUACUCGAUGGGUAGGGGUAAAAUCCGUUGAUCCAUUGAAGAACCACCACGUGGCGAAGGCGGCAUUGCCAG